CUCUGUGCUCCGCACGGAGCCCAACACGGGGCUCGAUCCCACAGCCCCGGGAUCGUGACCUGAGCCGAAAUCAAGAGUGGGACCCUCAACCGACCGAGCCACCCAGGCGCCCCAAGAGCCCACAUCCGUGGUGUCACCUCAUGCAGGUGUGAGCGGCGGGGCGUGUGGCCGUCCCUGGACGGGUCACCUGAAGAGGCUGCCCCUCCUUCAUUCUCUAUCCUUCCCACCCCCCUGCCCUGCUUUACUUUUCAAGAUGCCUAUCGGCGCUUCACAUAAUACUGUGUAAUUAUUUGCUUUUGUACUGGAUGUCUUUCUCCCUUAUUUAAGGUCCAGGAGAGUGGGGGGUGUCGUCUGGUUUGUUCCUUGCUGCACCCCCAUGACUUAGAACAACGCCUGGCGCGUAGUAAACAGAACACGUUCGUUCAACAAACGCUCCAGAGGAUCCAGAGGCUCCUACAAGCGGCCACAAGCCCGCGGAGCAGCGCCCGCUUGCCCGCCUGCUGGACCUUUAUAUGGCCCCUGCUUCACUCAAGCCCCUGUCGCGGCUCCCCUGAAGGCGCCAACGGGCCCCUGCAAGUCGGCUUGCUUCUAUUCCUGCCCCGUCCGAAUGCAGGCUCCACGCCACAGACCAUCCUUUUCAAACAUCACGCUCACUUCCCCUCAGGACCUUGACACUUGGUGGCUCUGUUCUCCCUGAGCCCCCCGUGGCCGCCGCCUUCACAUCACUCAAGCCCCAGCUCAAAGAUCGGGCACCUCAGAGCCGCCUUCCCUGACCGUCCAGUCUGGAAUAAUCCACCCCAGCCCAUCGCUUUUUAUCACAUCGCCUGGCCCGGCUCCGUUAUCUUUCCCUCUCGGCUUUCCAUCACCAGCUGUCAUCCCCUUAUUUGUUCUGUUGUUUAUACUUUAUGGUCUCUCCUCCUUUCCCAGGAGGCGAUGGAUGUUGGCACCUUGUCAGCAGUGACCUUGGAUCUUCUUUAUUACCAAGGCCCAGAAUAGUAGCUACAGCACAUUGUAGGUGCUCAAUAAAUAUUUCCUGAAUGAA